GGCCUUGACAGACAUGUGAGCAAGAAAGGCCUUUCUUUUUUUACAAAAGGAAGAAAAUGAAAAACAACUUUUCCCAGAACUGAAAGUCCUCUCCCAGGCUAACAUUUCAGAAAUUGCUGACGUAUGUGAAUGAAAAACAGGCGAUAACGGGGCACCUUGGGCUGUGCCUUCCCAUGGCUCGGAUCAGCCCCCCCUUUGCCAGCUGCGUUCCCUCCCCUCCUCCCCUCUCUUGCAAAAGUGAUACUUCCCAAGCCUUCAGCAAAGCACAGUUCUUGCGUGGCCCCCAUCUGCAGGUGCAGCCGAGGCCUUGGCAAGGGGGAAGGAUGGUUAUCGCUUCAGAAAACAGCAACACUGUCUUGUAAUCCUUCCUCAAGGUCUUGGCCAAAGGAUAAAUUCUGAGGGAGAGGGACGUGGAGCACAGAGGAGCCCCGGCAACUGAUCAGAUCAUUUUUCAUGUAACUCUCAAUGUUAAAGCAGCGGGGGAAUCGUUGCCUUACUUUUUUUAAAGAUCUGUUUCGAGAUUGUUGCAUCCCUUUCAGUUCAAUUAAUUUUCUAAUUCUUACUCAUCUGUAUAGAAUUGCUGUGUAAUAUGCCUAUAUGUUUUCUGACAGAACUUUGCAUAAUGAUGUGCUGAAUUUAAUGAUGUAUUGAAUUUUAAGCAUACACUGCAAUAAUGUUCAAAAAGUACAAGUUCAUAAAUGCUAUCAAUUUGUGGGAAAAUGUGGUUGCUUUGAUUGUUUUGUGUCACCUUUCCUGGCUUCAUUCAGUUUGUAAAUGUGCUUCCCCUUUGAGUUGCUGAACAAUAAAAGAACUCUUGACUGCA